rnacentral:lncRNA from 1 species
CCUGAGACAAUUUUUCAGUGUCAUUUGAAGGAAAUAUGAGGAUGUGGCUUUAUUACCAUGGAAUCCUCUGACACCAGUCUCUUGUCAUCUGUUAAUUAGAAAGAUUAUAAUGGAAGAGAGAGUCAGAGUGAGAGAGCAGGAGAGAGUUGGGAUUCAGGCCCCAGAUCUAUGGAUGAAGUACACUCACCAUGUUUUCUACCAAUGAGUUGCACCGCAGCUAGUACUGCUACCUUUUCCUUCUCCUGACUCUGCUACCAAGCAGCCCACACAUCCACUCCAUGCCCAAGACUUGCAGGGAUGCUGAUCUUCUGGAAGAAUGCUGUUCUUCUUAGUUUUUCUUCGAAGGGAAAUAUGUUCUUCUAAGUUUAAGUCUCUGAAAAUGUUCUUGAAUAAUCUGCCGAAGAGCAUUGCUGAAGAUUCACAUAAAAGGGUAUGCAGUUUUUGUGAAUAAU